AAUUCACAGCUCCAUGGAAACAGCUGCCUGUCAGUCCAAGCCUUGGUGCACCGAUACUGGCGACAGCUCGAGGAUUAUUUCCACGUGGGACUCCAGGGGUUUCUACAAGGCAGAAGAGCUGAGCACCCAGCCCGGCACGCAUCGUGCUUCUCCCAGCACUGCUACCCCAGCUGUAGCCGCAGAAUCUGGCUUCUCUGGAAGAGCAGCUAGAAGAAGGCGUAUGAACAGCAAUGCUGAACACAAGCGGCCCAAAGAUUGAUUUCCGCUUGGUUAUUUGUCCCUUGUGAAGCUCACACUGAAGUUUGGUCUCUGCCAUAACAAUGUUGAGAGGAGGAAGGCCAGCAGUACAGACCUGAGGGCAGAAUAUCUACAUAAAUGAUUUGGAAUUCUUCUGCAUGACAGAUUCGUCUCUUCUCUGCCAUUUCUUUAUUCAUUUAUUAAUGUCUGUGUGGAUUCAUGGGUACUUAUACUUGGGUUAUGAUCCAAUACUGCAUCAUUUAUUUGGCCACUCACAUCACUCUAGCUUUGGGCACUGCAUUUGGCUCCUGCAACAUUUUGCCAGGCUGUGACGGACCGAACCUUUAUUUCUCCCACCAAACACACGGUGAAGCCCUACCCUGCAAUGUAAGGUACUUGGAAACAGGGUUUGUGGGAGGUAACUAGGGUUGGAUGAGGUCAUGAAGGCAGGGCUUUGGUGACAGGUUCACGUCCUUAGAAAGAAGAGACACCAGACAGCUUGCCCUCUGCUAUCUUGUUGCCAUUCCACAAGUGUAAUGAGAGGUCAUGUGGCACCCAGAGAGACUGCAGCCACCUGCACACCAAGAGGAAAGAUCUUCAAAUGAAACCCACCUCGUCAGCACCUCCAUCAUAGACUUCUCAGUCCUCCAGGCAAUGAGAAAUAAAUUUCUGUUGUUUAAA